rnacentral:rRNA from 1 species
CCCUUAGAUGUUCUGGGCCGCACGCGUGCUACACUGAGUGGAUCAGCGGGUCAGGUUACGCGAGAGCGUUUCCUAAUCUUCAGAUCCGCUCGUGAUGGGGAUUGACGGUUGCAAUUUUCCGUCAUGAACGAGGAAUACCUUGUAAGCGCGGGUCAUCAUCCCGCGCUGAAUACGUCCCUGCCCUUUGUACACACCGCCCGUCGCUCCUACCGAUUGAGUGGUCCGGUGAGGCUUUGGGAUCUAAGCGAAAAGAGCGUUUCGCUCCUUUUGCUGGGAGAACUCAGUCGAACCUUAUCAUUUAGAGGAAGGAGAAGUCGUAACA